UCUCUGUUAGUAUAUCGGUUAGUACACGCGCCUGUCAUCAUGUGGUCGUCCCAUGUGCGCGCGAAAGCUGGGUUCGACUCCCAGACAGAGAG